CGCUCUCUUGGUCCGGUGUCCCCAAAUUGUGUCCGACUUCUUUUCUCAAGGUUGCAUCAACUUCUGGGGUGCCUUAUCAGCCUAAGUUUGAGGGGUGUCAUUCAUCCACUACCAUUGAUCCCGGACUCGUCCAACCGUUUCUCAUCACUCUGUACACACAGUAGGUCCAAAAGAACAACAAACAAACAAACAAACAAACAUACUAAUAUAAUGAUAACAUAACAAAAAC
rnacentral:lncRNA from 1 species